UUCCAGCUCUUGGCGAUGUCGUGGUCAUAUAGCCUACAACAGGGCAAUAACAUCAGCAAGUCCGUUUCCAGAGAAUGGAUAUUUUGAGGACAGUCGGCGGUGCGUGAGCACCGGGGUCUCUCAGACUGGAAAACAUCGCAUUUAUCCAUAGAAAAAAAAGCUUUGGGGAAUCACUGGCACCGUGGCACGAGGGCUACACUGUUGCGUAGUUCUUGUUUUGGAGAAAACAACAUUUCAAGUUAUUUUGAAAGGAAAUGGUGCAAUUCGUCCCAAAGGAUAUUAUUUCUAAAUUUGGGGAUUGUGCAAUACCAGCGCAACUGAUCAAAAAUAGGGGCGGUGGUGGCGAACUUCAACUUCGCACGCAUCUCCAAUCUCUCCCAUACACUCCUCAUCAAGCGAGGGUUUUGCGCGAAGUCAUCUUGCUGUCCAACGGAUGCGGACGAGAGACAUCACGGAUCCUACCGCGUUGCGCGUUUAUGCUCAACAUGUUUGUGACAUUGAAGAAUAUCAGGUUCAGACCGUCUAGAGGCCUUGUGAUCCGACUGAGCCCUGGCUUUGUGGGAUAGUCUAGGACUCCAGCAUAAAGAUAAUGAGACAGUCACGAGUUGUUUGCCAGAUGGCUUCCAUGGAGUUUCUCAGCCUCCACCAAAUAGGGAAUUGCCAUUGACAGCAAGUAAACAACCAGAACACCAACUGCCGCCAAUGUGAACGUCUUAAGGUAGGAGCUAUCUUUGGUAGCAAGCGUCUCUGCUACAUUCAAAACUACGGAUGCAGUUAUCAGGUAAAAACGACAUCCUCCUUACACUACCUCUCAAACUCUUUCACAACCCAAACUCAACUCUUACAAUCUUUAUCCCAAAUGUUGAAUUAACAUUGAAUGAAUGUAUUCUCACUGUAUACAUAUUAUCCGUAUAGGCUGGGUUAAAGGUCAUAAAGCAUCCAGUGACAGGUGGAAAUGAAGACCACACAGCCUGAUGAGAUCAAGUUGAAGAGGGAGGACAUAUUGAACUUGUGGGUCAUAGGUCAAAGGCUGAACUCUCUCCCUCUCCCCCGCUCUCUUUCACUCUCACCUUUCUCCUUCCCUCUACCCCACUAUUUCCUUAUUUGCAUCUCUCUAUCUCUCUCACACACACACACACACACACACACACACAGCCUGGCAGUUAGUUUCUCCAUAUGUUUUGACUAUGUGCUACCUGAGCUGGUCUGUGCUGUGGGCCUGUGGGAGGUCUCUGGCAGGCAGCAGUAUCAGGUUGGAGGGAGGCUUGGUGGUCUGUGUGUGACAUGGAGAAGGGCCCACCGGCACCGCAGCAGCACCACUGAGGCCACCCUGCCAGGGCCUCUGCUUACAGUCACUGUGAGUUACGACCAUUGCUCCUCACUCACUCACUCACACACACACACGAUACACGCUGACAGUCGCAUACACACACACAGAGGCGAAUGGCCCCCCCUACUAGCAGCCAUACACACCGCAGACACACACACGCUGAGGCGAGACAUACUCCUACCAGGAGCUUAAGCCCUCUCUGAGAAAGCCCAUUCCCACUGGGCUUGUUAAAGACAGGCCAUGUAGAAAGAGCACAUUUAAAUCCCACACAUCAAAUACAGGGGCAAUGUAAUGUGUAGCUAAUAGCUCUCUGUGCAUUUACACACACACACACACACACACACACUGAAUAACCCCCACCAGGGGCCAGACACACACAUAGAUGAAUGAUCCUUAACAGAGGACACACACACAAACUCCCACUCCCAAAGCCCUUAAUCACAGGCGUGUACAGGCCCAGCAUACAUGUUUAUGUCCACAGAUCAAUCCAGCUGAUCCAGCAGCAGCCCGACCUUUACCUGACAGAUCAACAAAGCUCUCUCUCUCUCUCUCUCUCUCCCUCUCUGAAAUGCUUUACUUUAAAACGUAAGCUUUUGCUAAUUAAAUCAAUGCAAUUGUCUUGUUGUUUGUUCUACAGCAAGGAGAAAAUCCCCUGAAGGUGUAUAUGUGUUUUUAGUGUAGUCGCGGGUGUUGUGUGCAUAUGUGUAUUUGUGUGUGUCUGAAUGUAAUACAGUAUCUCAUGCAACAAUCACAGGAUGGAAUGCUCCUUGGUCCACAGGAGAGGAUGGAUGGAGAGUGGCUGGAUGGAGAGAGGCUGGAUGGAGAGAGGAUGGAUGGAGACUAAAGAUGGAUGGAUGGAGGAUAAAGACUAGAGAUGGAUGGAGAAAGGAUGGAUGGAGAGAGGCGUGGGUGUGGAUGAAUGGUCCCAGGGAGGUGAGCGGAGGCCCUGCAGUACUAAAAGCCGGCGACCCAGACCAUACACACCCACUCACAGGGACCUAACACCACUCACAGGAUUGCUCCCUGGUCCACUGCUCCCACAUGCUAAAACACUUACAUACAAUACACACACACAAAGAUGGCAAAAUGCUAAAUGUGAAGUUCCAAGCACAUUCAAAAUACAUUCCCGAGACACAGACUACCAGUCAGUCAGAGACAUAAACACACGUUCUUGUGUGUGUGUUGUUGCCAUGCGAUGGUGAUGAGCAGCACAUGACAUGAAUGGGGCGUGGAGCUCAACCUCUUAUCAGACAAAGGAGAUACACAGAGAGGAGGGGGGAGAGAAGGGUGGGAGGAGGAGGGAAGGGGAGAGGAGGACGAGAGGGGAGGAGAGGAGAAGGGAGUGUAAGGGGGAGGAGGAGGGGAGAGGAAGGGGAUGUGCCGCCCCAAACUGCAGUCAUGAGUUCUCCAUCCCGUUCGACAUGCCGAGUCCCGUGGGGAAAAGGCCAUAAAAACUUUGAGCUGGAGCUAAAACCACCCUCACACACAGUCAAGAGUCACAACACACACACACAGGAACGGGACUGCGUAAAUCAAUGCCAUUCGCCCCGGGAGUACCCCUUUUGCUUUGAGUUGAGGAAGUCCAGACAAGUUAUUUCCACACACACGCUGUUCAUGUGACCCCACAAAUUCACUUCCUUUUCUGUAUGUCUUGACCGAAAAUGUGACUGAAAUGUUGCGUUUGUCAAUAAAAUGAUUGAUUUGCAAGUA